rnacentral:misc_RNA from 1 species
UCUCCGUAGGUGAACCAGCGGAGGGAUCAUUACCGAGUUUACAACUCCCAAACCCCAUGUGAACCUUACCAAACGUUGCUUCGGCGGGAUGCCCCGGGCGCGGGCCGCAAGGCCUCAGCCCCGGAACCAGGCGCCCGCCGGAGGCCCAAACCAAACUCUUGUUUUUGUAGAAUCUUCUGAGUGGCCUUUUAGGCAAAAAAUGAAUCAAAACUUUCAACAACGGAUCUCUUGGUUCUG